GCCGGGUGCAGUGAUGCACGCCUGUAAUCCCUGUGGCUUGGGAGGCUGAGAUAGGAGUUCAAAGCUAGCCUCAUCAAUGGUGAGGCACUAAGCAACUCAGUGAGACCCUGUCUCUA
rnacentral:sRNA from 1 species